AUCUGGGCGGCGGAAUUCAGGAUGGUCGGGCGGGUCUCGCGCUCGUCCGGCCGUUUGAUAUUUCCGUCGCCGUGUCAGACGUCGCGACCUGUUCGUCGUCGGUCCUUGCUCGGAGGAAUCGCGGUCGAGUUCGUUGCGGGUGCGUUUCGGCGUGUCCCGCGGGGAAGGCGCGUCUUUCUGGCUGACGACGGACAGUAGGCAACGGUGUCCGGCGUCGUGUCUCGCACUCGACGUCGGUGCCGGUCAGCGACGAUUUCUUCGGGCCUCUUUCCGACCCGUCUUGAAACACGGACCAAGGAGUCUAACAUGCGCGCGAGUCGCGGGGUUUCGAGCGUGCCACGGUGCGCUCGUUACUUCCGAAACCCGUACGUUGAAGGCGUAAUGAAAGUGAACAGGGAAGAUGGCGUUCCGAGUCCACGUACCGUGAUCGAGUAUCGCGGCCGGACGCCCGCACUCCCGGGGCGUCUCAAUGGUUCGUCGCGGAUGCGGACGGUCGUCUUUCGGGGCGGCCGUCGGUCUGCGACGGUCCGA
rnacentral:rRNA from 1 species